GGUUUUUUCAAGGGCAGAGGGGAGAUUCCUGGCGUGCAUCUACUUAAUUUGAAGAAGAACAUCACCUGAUCACCUGUCUGUAAUCCACCUGCGAAGACACUGCUGAGGUCAGACGAGAGUGCAUCCUCAAAGGUCUGUGUGUACCUAAAUGAAGAUCCAGAGAAGCUGGUGAGGGAGUACAUGGACGUUGAUGAAUGAAAUGGCCAAAGCCGAGACUGUCCUCGGAAUCGUCAUUUGAGCAGAGGGUGCCGAUCCUCAUCUGGAUGUUGGGAUUGUCCUGGAGGGGGUGGAAGUUAUGAACAGCUUGGGCAGUGUAUCUUCUGCAAUAGUGAUGCUGCUGGGACUAAUCUACGCACUAAACUUGAGCUACCCUCAAGUUUAGUGCGUUCAGCACUCAACUUGCUCAGUAACUCAAGCAUACCUUUGAAGUAAUACAGAAAAUAAUAAUGAAAUUGGAUGGAAAGAACUUAUCAAAGAAAGCACAAGUUCUCAAUAUGAAACUCGCUGCUAAGUUGAGUAAAGUUUCAUAUGGAAAAUGAGUGUUUAAAGUCUGCAGUAGAAAAGAUUUAUAUUGUUACAGUUCUCUUAAGUUGAGCAACUAUACUGACAUGUUUUAUGUUGUAAAGAAUUG